UACGGGGGGGGCAAGCGUUGUUCGGAAUUACUGGGCGUAAAGGGCUCGUAGGUGGCCAACUAAGUCAGACGUGAAAUCCCUCAGCUUAACUGGGGAACUGCGUCUGAUACUGGAUGGCUUGAGUUCGGGAGAGGGAUGCGGAAUUCCAGGUGUAGCGGUGAAAUGCGUAGAUAUCUGGAGGAAUACCGGUGGCGAAGGCAGCUUGCUGGGACGGUACUGACGCUGAGGCGCGAAAGCGUGGGGAGCAACAGG
rnacentral:rRNA from 1 species